AUUGAACGCUGGCGGCAUGCCCUACACAUGCAAGUCGAACGGCAGCACGGGUGCUUGCCCCUGGUGGCGAGUGGCGAACGGGUGAGUAAUACAUCGGAACAUGUCCUGUAGUGGGGGAUAGCCCGGCGAAAGCCGGAUUAAUACCGCAUACGAUCUACGGAUGAAAGCGGGGGACCUUCGGGCCUCGCGCUAUAGGGUUGGCCGAUGGCUGAUUAGCUAGUUGGUGGGGUAAAGGCCUACCAAGGCGACGAUCAGUAGCUGGUCUGAGAGGACGACCAGCCACACUGGGACUGAGACACGGCCCAGACUCCUACGGGAGGCAGCAGUGGGGAAUUUUGGACAAUGGGCGAAAGCCUGAUCCAGCAAUGCCGCGUGUGUGAAGAAGGCCUUCGGGUUGUAAAGCACUUUUGUCCGGAAAGAAAUCCUUGGCCCUAAUACGGUCGGGGGAUGACGGUACCGGAAGAAUAAGCACCGGCUAACUACGUG
rnacentral:rRNA from 1 species